rnacentral:lncRNA from 1 species
AGUUUUUAAAUAUGUUCGUGACUAAAUGAUACAUUAUUAAUAAGAUGAUGAUAUUUAUCGAGUAUAGAUCAUUGUGUGUCAUAUAGAUUGAUUGUCCUUAUAAUCAAAGAGUGUAAAGAUACUGGUAUGACAUAUAAGUGAGAUAUAGAAGUACAUUAUCACUGAACAGUGACUCACUUGCUGAGCGCUCAGCUGUCAUGGGC